GCUUUGGAAUGGUUCCCAUUUGCAGCUGCAAGGCACUACAGCAGCUUUAGUAUUUACGAGCACUUGUGCAAGAAAUAUGCAUGAGAAGAUACCACAAUAUAGUGAAAAGGAGGACUCAGAAAACUUGCUGGUGAAAUAAUUCUUCCUCCUGCCUGGUGUUUACUCAGAGUUAAGGAGGCAAUUCAUAUGCCUCCUCAGGCUUUUGCUGUGAAAUGUAUGAAGAGGUCCUUAGCCUGGUGGUGAGCUGGACUUGGAAGAUCACAGGAGCUCAGAUUCGUUUUACAGCUCAGAUCGGGGAUCAGUGUCAUAUGAAUGAAUUAUAGUACUUCGAGUCCAAGCAGAAAAGAGGAAGAUAAAGAUGUUUCUCCAAUUCAUAUCUCUAUGGCUAAUGCUUUCCAUAAGAAUGCAUUUUGUAGCGGUAGUUCUCUGAUAUUGUUACAACAAUCUAGCUCUGCUGGAAUUGACUCUCUUUCAUUAAAUGUGUGCUAGCUCUGCAAUUCCUUUUAGUGAAAACACUCCAUUCAGUGUUUCUUGUACAAGCUUUGUUUCCUAAAAAUAUACAUCUCCAUUCCAUUCUCCACUGUAUUUUUGUC